AAACCGUUCAGGGGUAAACCUGAGAAACCUAAAAGAUCGAAUGGGGAGAUUCAUCGUCAGCUCAUCUGGUAUAUAUGCAAGUUGCGAUACAAAUUUAUCCUUGUGGUAUAAUUUGUACGUGCUUGUAUAUUUUAUUGCUGGGUGUUGUCGGCGUGCACUUCUCCCCUAGUAGAACGUCGCGACCCGUUAGGUGUCGGUCUACGGCCCAAAUGGUAGUCUUUGAUAUAUAUUUUCUAAUAUAUGUUGAAGACCAUUGGUGUUUCCUGAUCGGCUGCUUGACGGUAUAUAAUACGGUAUUGAGCCGCAAUAUAUUUGCGUUAAACCAAUCACAAGCAUAAUUAGUUAUCUAGUAGUGCGGACCUAGUGCCGUCGCUGGAGCUGAUUUGCUGUUAGUUGAUUGUGUUCUUUAACUGGCUCUUUAAUAAUAAUAUAUAAUACCAGUCAGCGAUGCUACUGCUUUGGGUACUUUCAGGA
rnacentral:rRNA from 1 species